GCCCUUUUUGCACAGUUGGUAGUGCGUGAGACUUCUAAUCUCAAGGUCACGGGUUCGAGCCCCGUAAAGGGUU
rnacentral:tRNA from 1 species